ACCACCAAUAGUUCCACACAAGGCAGGUCACACCCCUCACACUAAGCUCUGAAUUCUGGGUCUGGAGAUUCUGGAUUGAGAAAUUUCUCCUUUUCUCUUUGUGCUUCGGAGCCUGGACACUUCCUGUCUACUUUCUGGUCUUUCUAUGGGCAGGACUGGCCAAGGCUAGUGAUUGGCCACUAGGGGUGAAAGGAGAGAGUCUAGACUACCUCCCGGCCUUCUGGAUCAGGACAUAUAUUUGGCCAUGGUCGCAAGGGAGGAUGCUGGAGCCCCUGGGUUUCUGGAAGGCACAUUCUCAGCCACUGUCACCAACAUCAGGACAUCAGCGUGACUGUCAGGAGACGGCCCGCACGGUGCUAGGCACGCAGACUUGGAGGCUAGAAGGCCCGCCUUCCACACCGGCUGAGGGUCUGUGGGCUCCUUACUCAACGUCUCUGAACCUUGCACUCCUCAUCUGUGACAUGGAGAUUCUGUCACCCUUUCCCAGGGCUGUCUUCAAUAUUUAGAGCAUGAAAUAACACAUGAAAUGUCUAUCAAGAUUGAUUUUCUCUGCUUCUCUGUUCCCCAUGGUACAAAAUGCCCACCAUUCUCGCU